rnacentral:rRNA from 1 species
AGUGAACGCUGGCGGUAGGCCUAACACAUGCAAGUCGAACGGCAGCACAGUAAGAGCUUGCUCUUACGGGUGGCGAGUGGCGGACGGGUGAGGAAUACAUCGGAAUCUACUUUUUCGUGGGGGAUAACGUAGGGAAACUUACGCUAAUACCGCAUACGCCCUACGGGUGAAAGCAGGGGAUCUUCGGACCUUGCGCGAUUGAAUGAGCCGAUGUCGGAUUAGCUGGUUGGCGGGGUAAAGGCCCACCAAGGCGGCGAUCCGUAGCUGGUCUGAGAGGAUGGUCGGCCACACUGGAACUGAGACACGGUCCAGGCUCCUACGGGAGGGAGCAGUGGGGAAUAUUGGACAAUGGGCGCAAGCCUGAUCCAGCCAUACCGCGUGGGUGGAGAAGGCCUUCGGGUUGUAAAGCCCUUUUGUUGGGAAAGAAAAGCAGCAGGUUAAUACCACGCUGUUCUGACGGUACCCAAAGAAUAAGCACCGGCUAACUUCGUG